rnacentral:rRNA from 2 species
UAUACAGCGAAACUGCGAAUGGCUCAUUAUAUAAGUUAUCGUUUAUUUGAUAGUACCUUACUACUUGGAUAACCGUGGUAAUUCUAGAGCUAAUACAUGCUAAAAAUCCCGACUUCGGAAGGGAUGUAUUUAUUAGAUUAAAAACCAAUGCCCUUCGGGGCUCACUGGUGAUUCAUAAUAACUUCUCGAAUCGCAUGGCCUUGCGCCGGCGAUGGUUCAUUCAAAUUUCUUCCCUAUCAACUUUCGAUGCUAGAGUAGUGUUCUAGCAUGGUUACAACGGGUAACGGAGGGUUAGGGCUCGACCCCGGAGAAGGAGCCUGAGAAACGGCUACUACAUCCAAGGAAGGCAGCAGGCGCGCAAAUUACCCAAUCCCGACACGGGGAGGUAGUGACGAUAAAUACUGAUACAGGGCUCUUUUGGGUCUUGUAAUUGGAAUGAGUACAAUUUAAAUCCCUUAACGAGGAACAAUUGGAGGGCAAGUCUGGUGCCAGCAGCCGCGGUAAUUCCAGCUCCAAUAGCGUAUAUUAAAGUUGUUGUGGUUAAAAAGCUCGUAGUAGAACCUUGGGCCUGGCUGGCCGGUCCGCCUCACCGCGUGCACUGGUCCGGCCGGGCCUUUCCCUCUGUGGAACCGCAUGCCCUUCACUGGGUGUGCCGGGGAAACAGGACUUUUACUUUGAAAAAAUUAGAGUGCUCCAGGCAGGCCUAUGCUCGAAUACAUUAGCAUGGAAUAAUAGAAUAGGACGUGUGGUUCUAUUUUGUUGGUUUCUAGGACCGCCGUAAUGAUUAAUAGGGACAGUCGGGGGCAUCAGUAUUCAAUUGUCAGAGGUGAAAUUCUUGGAUUUAUUGAAGACUAACUACUGCGAAAGCAUUUGCCAAGGAUGUUUUCAUUUAUCAGGAACGAAAGUUAGGGGAUCGAAGACGAUCAGAUACCGUCGUAGUCUUAACCAUAAACUAUGCCGACUAGGGAUCGGACGAUGUUAUUUUUUGACUCGUUCGGCACCUUACGAGAAAUCAAAGUG